rnacentral:rRNA from 1 species
AUUGCACAUGGGCGAAAGCCUGAUGCAGCGACGCCGCGUGGGGGAUGACGGCCUUCGGGUUGUAAACCUCUUUCAGUAGGGAAGAAGCGAAAGUGACGGUACCUGCAGAAGAAGCGCCGGCUAACUACGUGCCAGCAGCCGCGGUAAUACGUAGGGCGCAAGCGUUGUCCGGAAUUAUUGGGCGUAAAGAGCUCGUAGGUGGCUUGUCGCGUCUGCCGUGAAAACCCGAGGCUCAACCUCGGGCGUGCGGUGGGUACGGGCAGGCUAGAGUGUGGUAGGGGAGACUGGAACUCCUGGUGUAGCGGUGAAAUGCGCAGAUAUCAGGAAGAACACCGAUGGCGAAGGCAGGUCUCUGGGCCAUUACUGACACUGAGGAGCGAAAGCAUGGGUAGCGAACAGGAUUAGAUACCCUGGUAGUCCAUGCCGUAAACGUUGGGCACUAGAUGUGGGGGACAUUCCACGUUUUCCGCGUCGUAGCUAACGCAUUAAGUGCCCCGCCUGGGGAGUACGGCCG